UAUCCCUUAUUAUCCGAAUAUGUACAUCAAAUGCAUUUACGAUAGUUUUUAACAUUAAUUUCUUUCAUUAUAGGAAGACAACGACACGUUCCCUACUUUAGUUGGUCUACACGUUUUUUUCAGAAGAGCGUUACUGCCUGCAAUGUGAGGGAACUGUGACACCGCAUACAUGCAGUCAAGUGACUAAAUGUGGAAGCACAGAAUUGCAGAAGUGCGGAAUGAGAGGCAAACGAGAACUGUCAUUACACAUCGGCAAAAAAUCACUCCUUAUGUUAACGCAAUUGAGGACAGGCGAUAUGCAUCAAACAUGUCUUAUGACAACGUCCUUGAUGAUCCAGGAACCUUCCCAGUCUGUUCGCAAUGUUGCAAUGGAAGUCUCUGUAACCAAGGUGGAUGCGGAUCUAAUCCCUAUCCGGACCUCAUACAAGGUACGAGAGGACCGUUGUGUUUCAGCUGCCCGCAACAAAGUAUGACAGAUGACUGCGACACGUUGAGACUAUGUGGAAAAAAUCAGGUAGUAUUGUGUCCUACUUAUAUUAACAUCAAAUCAAAUUGUACAAAAGUGAACAGAUUUGAGUGAAACUUUUCAAGUGUGGUAGAUUGACAUUAU